AAAAGGGUAGCUAUGGGUAAAGUAUUGUUUUUACGAGACAAUGAUGUUUGUUAAACUCAAACUUCUUUUA
rnacentral:tRNA from 1 species